UACGUAGGCAGCGAGCGUUGUUCGGAGUUACUGGGCGUAAAGGGCGCGUAGGCGGCCACCUCACUUCGACUGUGAAAUCUCCGGGCUUAACCCGGAAAGGUCAGCCGAUACUGCGGGGCUAGAGUGCAGAAGGGGCAACUGGAAUUCUCGGUGUAGCGGUGAAAUGCGUAGAUAUCGAGAGGAACACCUGCGGCGAAGGCGGGUUGCUGGGCUGACACUGACGCUGAUGUGCGAAAGCUAGGGGAGCGAACGGG
rnacentral:rRNA from 1 species